rnacentral:misc_RNA from 1 species
UGGGCAUGCCUGAAUUUUCAGAUAUGAGCAUGAAAAAUGAGUUGGAGAAGAAGCUAGAGUAUCAAGCUGGGACAAGUCACUUAGACACCUCAAACACAUUUUUAAAGUUCUCUGCUGGCUGUGAGCUACAUGAAGCUCUAGGACCAGCUUUUUCAAAAGGGUAUCUCUAUUUUGAUUGUGAAACAGAGAACACUGAAGCCAGGAACAUUGUUGAGGUGCCAGAGGGGUUAAGUAUUAGCCAGAUGACAUUUGACACAGGUCCAGAUAAUCUUCUAGAAGCAGUUGUAGGUAAAGUUUGCUAUAGCAGCAGUGAUGUGAAAAGUGAGAAAUCAAUCUGUAAAUCUGUGCAAUCUCAGUUAACAACUGAGAAAAUUUCAGAGCCUUCUAGCCGGCCCAAACAUAUUAUCCAUUCAGCUGGUUAUUCAAUUAAUCAGCAGUCUGUUGUUGAAGAGUAUACACAGAAUUGCUCAAGCUCAACAGGG